rnacentral:rRNA from 1 species
GGAAUAUUUCGCAAUGGGCGAAAGCCUUACGCAGCGACGCCGCGUGUGGGAUGAAGGUCUUCGGAUCGUAAACCACUGUCGGGGGGGACGAACACCAUGACGGUACCCCCAAAGGACGCACCGGCUCACUCUGUGCCACCAGCCGCGGUCAUACAGAGGGUGCAAGCGUUGUCCGGAAUCACUGGGCGGAAAGGGCGCGUAGGCGGCCCGAUAAGUAGGGGGUGAAAUCUUGCGGCUUAACCGCAAGGCUGCCUCCUAGACUGUCGGGCUCGAGCACGGCAGAGGCUGGUGGAAUUCCCGGUGUAGCGGUGGAAUGCGUAGAGAUCGGGAAGAACAUCGGCGGCGAAGGCGGCCAGCUGGGCCGUUGCUGACGCUGAGGCGCGACAGCGUGGGGAGCAAAC